GACUCAACACGGGGAAACUCACCCGGUCCGGACACCGUAAGGAUUGACAGACUGAUAGCUCUUUCUUGAUUCGGUGGUUGGUGGUGCAUGGCCGUUCUUAGUUGGUGGAGUAAUUUGUCUGGUUUAUUCCGAUAACGAGCGAGACUCUAGCCUGCUAAAUAGAACGAGGAUAAACCUUUUCAUAGGUCCUCGAUGCUUCUUAGAGGAAUUAGCGGUGCUUAGCCGCACGAGAUUGAGCGAUAACAGGUCUGUGAUGCCCUUAGAUGUCCGGGGCUGCACGCGUGCUACACUGGAAGACUCAACGUGCUCUCCAUCGCCGAAAGGUGUUGGCAAACCGUUGAAACUCUUCCGUGACUGGGAUAGGGAAUUGUAAUUAUUUCCCUUGAACGAGGAAUUCCUAGUAAGUGUGAGUCAUCAGCUCGCGCUGAUUACGUCCCUGCCCUUUGUACACACCGCCCGUCGCUAUCCGGGACUGAGCUGUUUCGAGAAGAGUGGGGACCGACUGUAUGUGGCUUAACGGCUAUGUAUAGAUGGAAACCACUUUAAUCGCAAUGGCUUGAACCGGGUAAAAGUCGUAACAAGGU
rnacentral:rRNA from 1 species